AUUGAACGCUGGCGGCAGGCCUAACACAUGCAAGUCGAGCGGCAGCGGAAAGUAGCUUGCUACUUUGCCGGCGAGCGGCGGACGGGUGAGUAAUGUCUGGGAAACUGCCUGAUGGAGGGGGAUAACUACUGGAAACGGUAGCUAAUACCGCAUGACCUCGAAAGAGCAAAGUGGGGGAUCUUCGGACCUCACGCCAUCGGAUGUGCCCAGAUGGGAUUAGCUAGUAGGUGAGGUAAUGGCUCACCUAGGCGACGAUCCCUAGCUGGUCUGAGAGGAUGACCAGCCACACUGGAACUGAGACACGGUCCAGACUCCUACGGGAGGCAGCAGUGGGGAAUAUUGCACAGUGGGCGCAAGCCUGAUGCAGCCAUGCCGCGUGUGUGAAGAAGGCCUUAGGGUUGUAAAGCACUUUCAGCGAGGAGGAAGGCACCAUACUUAAUACGUGUGGUGAUUGACGUUACUCGCAGAAGAAGCACCGGCUAACUCCGUGCCAGCAGCCGCGGUAAUACGGAGGGUGCAAGCGUUAAUCGGAAUUACUGGGCGUAAAGCGCACGCAGGCGGUUUGUUAAGUCAGAUGUGAAAUCCCCGCGCUUAACGUGGGAACUGCAUUUGAAACUGGCAAGCUAGAGUCUUGUAGAGGGGGGUAGAAUUCCAGGUGUAGCGGUGAAAUGCGUAGAGAUCUGGAGGAAUACCGGUGGCGAAGGCGGCCCCCUGGACAAAGACUGACGCUCAGGUGCGAAAGCGUGGGGAGCAAACAGG
rnacentral:rRNA from 1 species